rnacentral:rRNA from 1 species
UACGUAGGGGGGCAAGCGUUGUCCGGAUUUAUUGGGCGUAAAGAGCGUGUAGGCGGCCAAGCAGGUCCGCUGUGAAAACUCGAGGCUCAACCUCGAGACGUCGGUGGAAACCGUUUGGCUAGAGUCCGGAAGAGGAGAGUGGAAUUCCCGGUGUAGCGGUGAAAUGCGCAGAUAUCGGGAAGAACACCCGUGGCGAAAGCGGCUCUCUGGGACGGUACUGACGCUGAGACGCGAAAAGCGUGGGGGAGCAAACAGGG